GAGAGGGGAAAGACAGGAAAACCAAACAGAAACCUAUUGCAGCUGUCCGUGUAAGAGGAGAUGAGAGCCUGACCCAGGAUAGAGGAAUGAAGGAGAAGGAUGUAAGAGACAAUUUGCAGAGGUAGAAUGAACGACAUGAGGACUGACUGGAGAGGUGUCUACUUUGACGCAAGUUCUUGUUACAACAAAAAUGCUGAAGACUAUGAAAUGACCUUCUUUCUGCAUUUGACCACACUGGGGCACGUCUUGCAAAGAAUCCCAAAGUCAAAAAGUGUGGCACAGUUUGAGUUUGGAGUGAGGAAUACUUGAAUUCAAAUUUGGCCUCAGAUGCUGUUUUGU